AGUGAACGCUGGCGGUAGGCCUAACACAUGCAAGUCGAACGGCAGCACAGUAAGAGCUUGCUCUUACGGGUGGCGAGUGGCGGACGGGUGAGGAAUACAUCGGAAUCUACUUUUUCGUGGGGGAUAACGUAGGGAAACUUACGCUAAUACCGCAUACGACCUACGGGUGAAAGCAGGGGAUCUUCGGACCUUGCGCGAUUGAAUGAGCCGAUGUCGGAUUAGCUAGUUGGCGGGGUAAAGGCCCACCAAGGCGACGAUCCGUAGCUGGUCUGAGAGGAUGAUCAGCCACACUGGACCUGAGACACGGUCCAGACUCCUACGGGAGGCAGCAGUGGGGAAUAUUGGACAGUGGGCGCAAGCCUGAUCCAGCCAUACCGCGUGGGUGAAGAAGGCCUUCGGGUUGUAAAGCCCUUUUGUUGGGAAAGAAAAGCAGCAGGUUAAUACCCCGCUGUUCUGACGGUACCCAAAGAAUAAGCACCGGCUAACUUCGU
rnacentral:rRNA from 1 species